rnacentral:ncRNA from 1 species
UAAUAUUGCAGAUAGAAAUAUGCUGUAUAUCCGUGUAAGCGAGUUAACGCUUAAGCGACAUAAUGAUGUCGUCGCUCACGGAGCCGCCUAAUGGCGGUUUUUUAAUUU